CGUGGUUGAUCCUACUAGUAGUCAUAUACUUGUCACAAAGAUUAAACCAUGCAUGUGUAAGUAUAAACUAAUUUAGACUGUGAAACUGUGAAACUGUGAAUGACUCAUUAAAUUAGUUAUAGUUUGUUUGAUGGUAUCUACUACUCGGAUAACCAUAGUAAUUCUAAAGCUAAUAUGUCUAACAAACCUUGACUUCUGAAAGGUAUGCAUUUAUUAGAUAAAAAGUCAAUACAGGCUUUGCCCAUUGCUAUGAUGAUUCAUGAUAACUCAAUGGAUCACAUAGCCUUUGUGCUGGUAAUGCAUUAUUCAAAUUUCUACCCUAUCAACUUUUGAUGGUAGGAUAGUGGUCUACUAUGGUAGUGAGAGGUGAUGAAGAAUUAGGGUUUGAUUCCGAAAGGAUGCCUAAGAAUAGCUACCACAUCUAAGAAAGGUAGUAGGGGUGUAAAUUACCCAAUCCUGACAUAGGGAGGUAGUGACAAUAAAUAACAAUACAAGGCUCUAUGAGUCUCAUAAUUGGAAUGAGUACAAUCUAAAUCUCUUAAUGAGGAUCCAUUAGAGGGCAAGUCUGGUGCCAGCAACCGUGGUAAUUCUAGCUCUAAUAGCAUAUAUUUAAGUUGUUGUAGUUAAAAAGAUCAUAGUUAGAACUAGGAUUAGGUUGUUUGGUCUGCCUUAUAGUAAGCACUUGUCUACUCUUCCCUACUGUCGAUGAUUUGAUCCUAGCCUUAAUUGGCUAGGUCAUUCCUCUGGCUCUAUUACUUUAAAAAAAUUAGAGCGGUCAAAGCAGGCCUAUACUUGUAUAUAUUAGCAUGGGAUAACAUCAUAGGAUUUUGGUCCUAUUAUAUUGGCCUUCAAGAUUGGAGUAAAGAUUAACAGGGACAGUCGGGGACAUUUGUAUUUCAUAAUUAGAGGUGAAAUUCUUGGAUUUAUGAAAGAUGAACAACUACAAAAGCAUUUUCCAAUGAUGUUUUCAUUAAUCAAGAAUGAAAGUUAGGGGCUCAAAGAUGAUCAAAUACCAUUCUAGUCUCAACCAUAAAUGAUGCCGACUAGGGAUCGAUGGUGUUACUUUUAGGACUCCACUGGCACCUUAUGAAAAAUCAAAAUCUUUGGGUUCUUGGGGAAGUAUGGUUGCAAGGCUGAAACUUAAAAGAUUUGAUGAAAGGGCAACACUAGAAGUGGAGCUUAUAGCUUAAUUUAACUCAACAUUAGAAAACUUUCUAGGUCCAAACAUAGUAAAGAUUGACAAACUAAGAGCUUUUUCUAGAUUCUAUGGGUGCUGGUGCAUGUAUCACAGGCUCUAGACUUUAAACCUGAAUCCGUGCAGCCUUAGGCUAGAAAUUGACUUUGUAUGCGUAAGUUUAGCCUACUACAUAAGUGUGCAUGCAAACAACUAGAAAAGGCAGAAUACACUGCUAGAAAACACAAAAGAUGCUAGAAUAUGCUUUGUAUAUUACUGAAGUGUGUGAUUGAUACAACUAAGGGAUGGGUAGUUCUAUUAUAGCCUUAGCACUAUAUGGCUAUUCCUAAAAUCAAAGGAUUACAUGAUUCCUAGAAUUAAGGGAUUACAAUUAAAAUAUAGAUUAAAUCUUGAUUCUAAUGAUCCCCUUCUGAUUCUUAGGGAUUAACCAGAUCCUUCCAGUCGUGUUUACCAAACUUGGAUGCUUUUAGAUGGUUAUGGAUUGAUCCCACUCUCCUAGGCCUACUUAGGUGUGGUGUGGGCAUGAUGUGGGCCUAGCCCUGAUUGUGCAGG
rnacentral:rRNA from 1 species